GAUGAACGCUGGCGGCGUGCCUAAUACAUGCAAGUCGAGCGAACGGACGAUAAGCUUGCUUCUCUGAUGUUAGCGGCGGACGGGUGAGUAACACGUGUAUAACCUACCUAUAAUACUUGGAUAACUUCGGGAAACCGUAUCUAAUACCGGAUAAUAUUUUGAACCGCAUUGUUCAAAAUUUAAAGACGUUCCUUCUGUCACUUAUAGAUUGAUCCGCGCUGCAUUAGCUAGUUGGUAAGGUAACGGCUUACCAAGGCAACGAUGCAUAGCCGACCUGAGAGGGUGAUCGGCAAAACGGGAACUGAGACACGGUCAAGACUACUACGGGAGGCAGCAGUAGGGAAUGUUCCGAAAUGGGCGAAAGCCUGACGGAGCAACGCCGCGUGAGUGAUGAAGGUCUUCGGAUCGUAAAACUCUGUUAUUAGGGAAGAACAUAUGUGUAAGUAACUGUGCACAUCUUGACGGUAACUAAUCAGAAAGCCACGGCUAACUACGUG
rnacentral:rRNA from 1 species